AAAUAUUAUUAUGUCAGAUCACAAAUUCCAGACACAUUUAUCUGUAUAAAUAUGUGAAAAAUAUUCAUGUAUAAUAUCCCAUGUUUCUAUUUGUCAAUGAAUAUAUGAAUAAAUAUUACAUAUAAAUAAAUAUGUACAUAUGUAAAUGUAUUUACAUGUGUGUAUGUGUCACAUACAUACAUGUAAAUAUAUGAGUAUUUUGUCAAUAUAAUUGUCCAUGAGGUAAUACUGAGAGAGUACUGUUGGGAGAAAGUCCAUAAUGCAAUGAUUUGGGAAAGAAUUUUUUAAAAAGAAAAUUUAUACAUAUAUAUGCACAUAUAUACAUACAUGCAUAGUUAUGUACAUAUAUAUGUAAGGUUUGAAGCAGGACAUAGCUGUAUUUAGAUUUAAAACUAAUAGCUCAUAGCAGACCAAAUGAUACAAAUAUGAUAUUUUCCUAACAGUUAUUCCCUCAUUCAAAUACAGAAUUUUUUUUCGAACACUCAAUGGGAACAUUCCUGUUGUGGCAAUACUAGUAUUUCAACAUUGAGUUUACAACAUUUACGAAAUUCCACGGAUGCCUCUUGAAAUGUUCAUAGUUCUCAUUCAACAUCAUAGCAAAAUAUAAAUAUCUGAGUAUGGAUUAAAAUCUACAUGAAUGCAAUGAUCUACUAUAUAAAUGUGUUCUCUCCAGAAACGGUUCCCACUCAACCUCUCCCCUCUCUUUCAUUCACAUUCUUUCUCCUCCUCUCUCAAUUUGCAUAAGUCUAGGUACACACUCUACACAACAUGUAAGAGAAAAAUUUAGAGGCACAAUCUAUAUUUAUCUGUAACCAUAUUUUAUAUCACAUACUGUCUAAAAAAUCACCCUUGUAAUAUUUUUAUCGGAAAUAAAAUCUAGCGGUGAAAAAAUAUAUCUUGCUGACUUUAUGGUACUUCAUUUAACACAUACAGUAUAAAGGCCCAUUUGGAAAAGAUCUUUCUGAAAAAGGGGUUAUCUCAUCAAUCAAGCACUUCCUGUGUGUGUAUUGUAAAUAAUAAAUGUAUGCCACAUGUGUAGCUGGAAGAACGCUGGAAAAAACUCUAUAGGCGUGUGGAGGAAAUACAGCUAAAAUAACUUCACCCAACCCAGUUCAUUCCACUCAGCAAAAUCUGGGCAAGCCAAAUUCAUCAAUAUUGAUUUCAGGUUUCAUCAGCAGGGAUUUUUGAACAAGACUUUUUUCCCUACAUUUUCCAUUUGACAUUUCUCAUUAGACUCAAAGCUUUCACUGUGUAUGAGUCUUUUCAUGUAAUUCAAAACCAAGUUCAUCAAGAAACCUUCCCAACAUAAAGGAACAGUAGACCCAUUUGCUGCUUGAAGAAGUAAAUUUGUACAUUUUGACAGUCUUCAUAUGUCAAUCCAGAAUCCCUGCUUCCUCUUUAUCCUAUUUUUUAGAGUAAAUAUGUCGAUUUCUCUCUCU
rnacentral:lncRNA from 1 species